rnacentral:lncRNA from 1 species
AGUGCCCGGAAACACCUUGGAAACUGAUUUAAGAAGGAAGUACUUGACCCAGGUGGAUAUAUUGCCUCAAGAUGAAGGGUAUUUUAAGAACGCAGAGAAGAGAGGUGGAAAAGACACAGUCAUGACUUGGGUUCCUUCCGUGACCUCAUCUGUCACACCAGCCUCUGGAUGCCAGGAUGCUAUCUCUGCAAAGAGCUCUGGUGGUCCUGAAGUAUCUGCUUUGUCCUCUAGAGGACAAAGCAGAUACGGCCAUUGUGGCUAGAAGUGAUGGCCUCUCCUUAACUUGGGACCAGCAGCAACAGCGUAAGCAGCCAGUCCUUUGAGGUUGAUGACCUUUGCAAUGUGACAAUCAGCGAUUUGUAUGAAGGCAUGAUGCAUUCCAUGAGUAGGCUGCUGCGCUCAAAGCCAUCCUGCAUCAUCUCCACCAAGACCUACAUCAACCAGAGCUGGAAGCUCCGGAGGAGACCCUCACGCAAGAGGAGUGCCAGGAAGGGGCCUGCGUCCUGCUCAGAGCCCGGGAAAGAGGCCGGAAUAUUAAGAGACUACGGGAAUUUACUGCAUGUUGCUCCCCACAAGACAGGCUUAGAACUGAAAAGCGUUUCUCUUGAAGGAAGCAAACGCCAAGUCCAUAAAUCCAGUCCAGCUUGGAAGGAGCUCCAGAUGAUGCCGCAGAAGGACUUGGACUUAAACCGUGAGCGAGAAAAUAGGGUGAUGACAUUACAGUGGCUAAUUUCACCCGUCAAGGUGGUUCCCAGACCAAGGAUGCUUCCAAGUCCAGUAGAGAAGUGGUAUAGAGAGAUUAAAAUCAAAUUUGACAAGCUUCAUCAGGAAUAUUGCCUGUCUUCUGGGAAACAGCCUCGCCUGACUGACCCCACAGAGUCUUGGGCUGUCGAUGUGUACAGAAGUGGUGCUAAGAGCCCAGGCAGCCGUCAGGAUGUAGAAACCUGCAGGCCCAGUUCACCUUUCGGCAGAGAAAAGACAGAAAGGCCAGGUGAAGCUUUAGAAGACCUGAGGGGAAAUGGAAAGUCUGUCAAAACAAAGAGCUGUCUUCUAAGGAGCUGUCCCUCUCCAGAGGGCAGCCCGUCACGGAGCCCCAGCCAUUCUCAGCUGAGCUCUGGCCUUCAAGAGCACAAUUCUGAACCUACUGGUAAGGCAGUGUGGCCCAGUACAGCUAUUUCAGCACCAUGCAUAGGCUCUCCAGGCUGUGGGAAGGAUAACUAUGAUGAGCUUAAAAAAGAAUUCAACAGACUUUAUCAGAAGUAUUGUCUGUCACCGCAGCGGGCAAAGGUGACUUCGUGUGGCAGAGUAUCGCCAAUGAAAGCUGCUGCAGCUCUUCCCUGUCAAUCAGAGCACUUGAAGAGACUAAAUCCAGACUCCCCACAACAGAGUUCCCAGAAACGGUCAAUCUCUCCUGGCUGUCACAGAAGAGUCCUGCAGGAUUCAACUCCACAGACUGCUAGUACACUUGUGAGAGACUCUUGGCUGCCAACAAAGAGGCGCAAGUUGUCAUACCCGGUAGCUUGUGCUCACCAGGCCAAGUUUCACGAUACCUCAGGAGCAUCAGGCUGGCCCUGAGUGUCCUGAGUGCUGAUUGCGUGUUUGUCUGUUGGACAUGAUGCUUAUGUGUAGUCAGUAGCUGCUUUGAGGAAGAAGACCUCAGCAGAGACUUUUGUUUCUCCUUUUGGAGGACGGUCCCCAGGGCAUCCUGUGUACUGAGCAGUUUUCCAUUGCAGCUCCCUGUAGCCACUUGGCCUCUGUCCAGCCACCUCCCCUGCUCUGUAUCACAGCAUCAUCUCUGUCCUUUCUUGUGGGAUGUUGGUGCCUUGGGCUUCUCUAGCCAGCCUUGGCCAUUACUGUGUCUCUUUAUCUUAUUCAGGGGAUUCUCAGUGGCAGUUUUCCUCUUAACAUGAAUUACUUACAGUGUCUCUACUCCCCACUCCCCCAUCUUCACCUUCCUCACUUCUGCUUCUGAGUAGGUGAGUGUCCUUCAGGAGAGCACGGUGUUAAAUCCAUGAGUUGAGUCAUGACAGAACGCUGUUCACACCUCUCGGCUUAGUCUUAAGAGCGCUGGUUGUGGGGGUGGGGGAGAUGUUUUAUUUGGUUUUUGAGGCAGUCUUGCAUAGCUUGGGCUGACCUUGGACUCCUUGGAUAGUCAAGGUAACCAUGAGUUCCUGAUCCUCCUUUCCAAAUGCUGAGGCUAGUUUUGUUUUCUGAUUUAUUUCCAUGGAUAAAAACACUUUGUGAACUGUAUUUCCCUGGUUGAACUGGGUCUCUGGCUGCCUGGUGUGGCAGGAAUCCCUGGCAGGGUAUUCCCACCAGCUAUCUCCCUUUGCUCUUGGCCUUGAGCUGUUUGUCUAGCUGCCUCAACCUCGUGAGCCCCCUUGACUUUCCUAGACCAAACUGCUAUCGUGGUGUGCCUUGGUGGCCUGGUCCAGACUCUAUGGAAGUGACUGUGAGAGUGGACUCGUGUCUAGGUCACCUCGGGGUAAUCUGAGAUUCUGAUGAGAAGAAAGGUCGCUGGAGACCUUAGUUCAGAACCUGCAUCCUUUUCCAGCCUGUUUCCCCAGCUGUCCCAAGAAUACAGCUGUGUCCCUUGCCCACCCAUCUGGGCCUGCCUUCAGCUCCAGAGCCAACGAAAUCUUGCUACUUUGUCUUUAAAGCCUGUCUUGCUAUAUAGCCCAAGCUGAUCUUGACCUUGUGGUCCUCCUGCCUCAGCCUUCCUAAGAAGCUGGGGUUAUAUGUGUGCAGCGUGCCCUGCCUUUGAGGUCCCACCUGCCUGGCACUCUACCUGGAGAAAACCUUGCUUUUCCUGCAGCCCGGAGACCUCGCUUGCCCAACCACUAGCAGGGACUUCGACUUUGCAGAGAAUAGAAUCAAGUUGCUGGUUAGUGGCAGUCAUAGUGCCUAGAGCUUCUUCCCUGGUACCCAGGAGUUCCUCACCACUCCCCUGGAAGUUAGUAGCCUAUCCUUAGGGCCUUUACCAGAUGCCUUCUCUAGUUCCAUCUUCAGCCACAUUAAACACUAAAUGGCUUCAUUUUCUGUUUCUUUCUAUGUCAGCUAUAAAUUACUUGGAGAGGGGACCAGGUCUCUACAUUCAGUGACAACAUGAAGGAUAUUAGGAGCUAGUUCUUCCUCCUUUGUGCUAGACCAGUAAAGCUUUUAUGUACCUUGCUCUAUCUAGCUAAGGACCCUUUGGUGAUGUGGGCAGUCUCUCUUAGGAAGACAGUUUGUGUCUGCGGACUCCUCUAAGUUCACUCAAAUUGGGCUGACAUACCCAGGGCAAACUGCCGGGACAGCAGCAACCAUUAUCAUUGCUGCUACCGUAGUGUGCCUUGAGUUCUUUGACAACAGGAGAUUUCCCACAGUGGGCAUAACACAGGUGCCUCGGGGUUUACACUGGGCAGUCAGGAUGAAAAAGUGAUUUUUUGAUAGGAAAAUUUUAAAGUUUAAACAUAUUGUCUUGCCCCUUGCCUCUAGUUCUGCUUUUAGAAGGGGUCUCUGUCCCGAUCACCUUGCUGGCAUCAGAUGCACCUCAAGCAUGCUGUACCACAACUGUCUGCCCUUCAUGCUCCAGGGCAGCUGGUACCGUGGAAAGUGCCUGGGGUGGUUUUGCAAAUAAAGGUAUAUGGUUAGCAUUAAAAAAAAAAAAAAAAAAAAAAAAAAAAAAAAAAAAAAAAAAAAAAAAAAAA